CCUACGGGUGGCAGCAGUGGGGGAUAUUGCACAAUGGGGGGAACCCUGAUGCAGCGACGCCGCGUGGGUGAAGGAGUGCUUCGGCAUGUAAAGCCCUAUCGGCAGGGAAGAAGCAAGACGGUACCUGACUAAGAAGCCCCGGCUAACUACGUGCCAGCAGCCGCGGUAAUACGUAGGGGGCAAGCGUUAUCCGGAUUUACUGGGUGUAAAGGGAGCGUAGACGGUCCUGCAAGCCAGAUGUGAAAGCCCGGGGCUCAACCCCGGGACUGCAUUUGGAACUGUAAGGCUAGAGUGUCGGAGAGGCAGGCGGAAUUCCUAGUGUAGCGGUGAAAUGCGUAGAUAUUAGGAGGAACACCAGUGGCGAAGGCGGCCUGCUGGACGAUGACUGACGUUGAGGCUCGAAAGCGUGGGGAGCAAACAGGAUUAGAUACCCUUGUAGUC
rnacentral:rRNA from 1 species